UGGGGAAUUGUUCGCAAUGGGCGCAAGCCUGGCGACGCAACGCCGCGUGGAGGAUGAAGAUCUUCGGGUCGUAAACUCCUUUCGAUCGAGACGAAUGGCUUCCGGGUGAACAGCCCGGGAGAAUGACGGUACCGAGAGAAGAAGCCCCGGCUAACUCCGUGCCAGCAGCCGCGGUAAUACGGGGGGGGCAAGCGUUGUUCGGAAUUACUGGGCGUAAAGGGCUCGUAGGCGGCCAACUAAGUCAUACGUGAAAUCCCUCGGCUUAACCGGGGAACUGCGUGUGAUACUGGAUGGCUUGAGAUUGGGAGAGGGAUGCGGAAUUCCAGGUGUAGCGGUGAAAUGCGUAGAUAUCUGGAGGAACACCGGUGGCGAAGGCGGCAUCCUGGACCAACACUGACGCUGAGGAGCGAAAGCCAGGGGAGCAAACGGGAUUAGAUACCCCGGUAGUCCUGGCCCUAAACGAUGAAUGCUUGGUGUGGCGGGUAUCGAUCCCUGCCGUGCCGAAGCUAACGCAUUAAGCAUUCCGCCUGGGGAGUACGGUCGCAAGGCUG
rnacentral:rRNA from 1 species